AUUGAACGCUGGCGGCAGGCCUAACACAUGCAAGUCGAGCGGUAACACAGGGAGCUUGCUCCUGGGUGACGAGCGGCGGACGGGUGAGUAAUGUCUGGGAAACUGCCUGAUGGAGGGGGAUAACUACUGGAAACGGUAGCUAAUACCGCAUAACGUCGCAAGACCAAAGAGGGGGACCUUCGGGCCUCUUGCCAUCAGAUGUGCCCAGAUGGGAUUAGCUAGUAGGUGGGGUAACGGCUCACCUAGGCGACGAUCCCUAGCUGGUCUGAGAGGAUGACCAGCCACACUGGAACUGAGACACGGUCCAGACUCCUACGGGAGGCAGCAGUGGGGAAUAUUGCACAAUGGGCGCAAGCCUGAUGCAGCCAUGCCGCGUGUAUGAAGAAGGCCUUCGGGUUGUAAAGUACUUUCAGCGAGGAGGAAGGCAUUGUGGUUAAUAACCACAGUGAUUGACGUUACUCGCAGAAGAAGCACCGGCUAACUCCGUGCCAGCAGCCGCCGUAA
rnacentral:rRNA from 1 species